rnacentral:rRNA from 1 species
UGGCUCAUUAAAUCAGUUAUCGUUUAUUUGAUAGUACCUUACUACAUGGAUAACCGUGGUAAUUCUAGAGCUAAUACAUGCUAAAAACCCCGACUUCGGAAGGGGUGUAUUUAUUAGAUAAAAAACCAAUGCCCUUCGGGGCUCCUUGGUGAUUCAUGAUAACUUAACGAAUCGCAUGGCCUUGUGCCGGCGAUGGUUCAUUCAAAUUUCUGCCCUAUCAACUUUCGAUGGUAGGAUAGUGGCCUACCAUGGUUUCAACGGGUAACGGGGAAUUAGGGUUCUAUUCCGGAGAGGGAGCCUGAGAAACGGCUACCACAUCCAAGGAAGGCAGCAGGCGCGCAAAUUACCCAAUCCCGACACGGGGAGGUAGUGACAAUAAAUACUGAUACAGGGCUCUUUUGGGUCUUGUAAUUGGAAUGAGUACAAUUUAAAUCCCUUAACGAGGAACAAUUGGAGGGCAAGUCUGGUGCCAGCAGCCGCGGUAAUUCCAGCUCCAAUAGCGUAUAUUAAAGUUGUUGCAGUUAAAAAGCUCGUAGUUGAACCUUGGGCCUGGCUGGCCGGUCCGCCUCACCGCGUGCACUGGUCCGGCCGGGCCUUUCCUCCUGGGGAGCCGCAUGCCCUUCACUGGGUGUGUCGGGGAACCAGGACUUUUACUUUGAAAAAAUUAGAGUGUUCAAAGCAGGCCUAUGCUCGAAUACAUUAGCAUGGAAUAAUAGAAUAGGACGUGUGGUUCUAUUUUGUUGGUUUCUAGGACCGCCGUAAUGAUUAAUAGGGAUAGUCGGGGGCAUCAGUAUUCAAUUGUCAGAGGUGAAAUUCUUGGAUUUAUUGAAGACUAACUACUGCGAAAGCAUUUGCCAAGGAUGUUUUCAUUAAUCAGUGAACGAAAGUUAGGGGAUCGAAGACGAUCAGAUACCGUCGUAGUCUUAACCAUAAACUAUGCCGACUAGGGAUCGGGCGAUGUUAUCUUUUUGACUC